CAAAGGUGUCUUCUAUCUCAAAACUGUCCAAUCCAAAUCUACUUUAUAGAUAAAGAAAACAAAAAGGAGGUCAUCCACAGUCAACACUCAGACGACAAAGCAGGCAGGCAGAUAGGUCAUCUUUUCUUAUUAUAUAAUUAUAACAUGAUAAUUCCAUUUUAACUGCCAUGGCUCCAACAUAUGAAAUCCUGGGAUUUGCAGUGUGGGGAGAGGUACUUCGGCUCCUUCUACACUGCCAUAUAAAAUCCAGAUUAUGUGUUUUGGAUUAAAUAGCAGUGUAGACUCAGGUAACCUAGUUCAAAGCAGAUAAUCUGGAUUAUUUGAUUGAAUAAUCUGGAUUACAUGACAGUGUAGAAGAGUCCUUAGAAUUCUGAUCCAGAGAACUCUAGUAAUUCAUCAUAUUACAAAUUCUAGGACUCUACAUGAUGCAGCCAUGGCAGUUAAAGUGGAAUCAUAGCAUUAUAACUGUACAGUGUGGACAGGCUCCUAGACACAUUCAUUUUAAAUAUAGUAUGAUAUAUGGGGGCUUUUUUUGCAAAUAUAUGUCCCUCUUUGACAGUACAUUUCCAUUAGACACAGUACAGAGCAUUGCCGUAUUCCUUUUAUCAUCUUUCCCCUAUUAUCCUAAGAUUGGUUUCUUUGCAUUAGGAAAUCAGGUCCUAGGGUCCUAAGGCUGUUUUCCCCAUAGAGCACAUGGUUCAUUGCCACCCGCAUAAAUCCUCCAGCAUCUCUCCUUCCAACACCAUCUGGAUUCUGUGCCUUUCACUCCUCCCAUCUCUCUGUUUUCCUCCUAUCAUAUGUCAGGUGUUAAAUAAUUUGGCAGUGGCAGGUAAAGCCAGGUCAGGCAGAAAUCCACACCUCCUUCAGGACAGACAACUUGAAAUGGGAGUAGGCUCAUCAUUGACCCCUGACUAUCAAAGAAGAGUCCACAUGCAAACUGGAUUGAAACAGCAACUGACAAGAGCUCACAGCACCACGUGGCAACAGGGCAGGAUUACAGCCUUGACCAGCUGCGACUUGAGAAACAGCAAGUCGCUUCUGGUGUGAGAGAAUUGGCCGUCUGCAAGGACACUGCCCAGGGGACGCCCAGAUAUUUGAUGUUUUUACCAUCCUUGUGGAAGACUUUUCUCAUGUCCCCGCAUGGGAAGCUGGAGCUGACAGAGGGAGCUCAUCCAUGCUCUCCCCAAAUUCUAACCAGCAACCUUCAGGUCAGCAACCCAACCUUCAGUUCAGCAGUCCUGCCAGCACAAGAGUUUAACUCAUUGCACCUCCAGGUGCUCCUGAUGUUCACAUGAAUCAAAGCAAAUAGAUCUAGAGAUAAGGGGUAGUGCCACGAAAACCCACUCUCUCUGCUCAGAGAAAGGCGAAGCCAACCCCAUCCAAAAAGCUUGCCAAGAAAACCUUGUGAUAAGAUCAUCAAUAGGUACCACUACAGCAGGAAGGUAACAGCACUCCAUGUAGUCAUGCCGGCCACAUGAUCUUGGAGGUGUCUACGGUCAAGAAAUGGAGAUGAGCACCAACCCCCAGAGUCGGACACGACUGGACUUUAUGUCAGAGGAAAACCUUUACCUUUACCUAUAUGUAUAUGUAUAUACUCAUUUUGGGAAGUUUGGGCAUUCACCCUCCCCCUAAUUUGUCUCAUUUUUACCAUGCUCAAAUUUAUUUCCAGCCCUUCAUCUGUGGAACCCAGUCACUGAACUAAGUAAGGAUCUAAAGCAACCUUCCUCAAACCAACACCCUUCAUCUGUGGUGGACCACAUUUCUCAUCCUCCGCCAGACAGCAAGACUUGGAGAAAUGUGUUUUGAAGUUUAUAUUCCUUUUCAUCCUGGAAUAAAUGUUAAAUUAGGUUGCAUCAUAUAUCUGGAGGGACUGGUCACUUAAGCUUGAAAUAAAGGAGCUAG
rnacentral:lncRNA from 11 species